GGGACUCUAUUGAGGCCCGUAAUGCGGAAUGAGUACACUCUAAAUCCUUUAACAAGGAUCCAUUGGAGGGCAAGUCUGGUGCCAGCAGCCGCGGUAAUUCCAGCUCCAAUAGCGUAUAUUAAAGUUGUUGCGGUUAAAAAGCUCGUAGUUGGUUCUGCGUGCCACGCUGUCGGUUCGCCGCCUGUCGGUGUAACUGGCAUGUCGCGGCAUGUCCUGUCGGUGGUGAACGCUAUUCCCGGUUCAGCGUAGGCUUUUAUAGCCAAAGUUUGUACCGUGUGAAUAACGUUUGCCGAUCUCUCCUACUCCGGUGCUCUUAAACGAGUGUCGAGGUAGGCCGACACGUUCACUUUGAACAAAUUAGAGUGCUUAAAGCAGGCUGAAAUAUCUGCCUGAAUAGUGGUGCAUGGAAUGAUAAAAUAGGACCUCGGUUCUAUUUUGUUGGUUUUAGGAAUGUGAGGUAAUGAUCAAUGUGGACUGGCGGGGGCAUUCGUAUUGCGACGUUGGAGGUGAAAUUCUUGGAUCGUCGCAAGACGCACUAAAGCGAAAGCUUUUGCCAAG
rnacentral:rRNA from 1 species